AACGAACGCUGGCGGCAGGCUUAACACAUUCAAGUCGAACGCAUCCUUCGGGGUGAGUGGCAGACGGGUGAGUAACGCGUGGGAACGUGCCCUUCAGUUCGGGAUAAACCAGGGAAACUUGGGCUAAGACCGGAUACGGUCGAGAGCAGAAAGAUUUAUCGCUGAAGGAUCGGCCCGCGUCUGAUUAGCUAGUUGGUGGGGUAAUGGCCCACCAAGGCGACGAUCAGUAGCUGGUCUGAGAGGAUGAUCAGCCACAUUGGGACUGAGACACGGCCCAAACUCCUACGGGAGGCAGCAGUGGGGAAUAUUGGACAAUGGGCGCAAGCCUGAUCCAGCCAUGCCGCGUGAGUGAUGAAGGCCUUAGGGUUGUAAAGCUCUUUCGUCCGGGACGAUAAUGACGGUACCGGAAGAAGAAGCCCCGGCUAACUUCGUGCCAGCCGCCGCGGUAA
rnacentral:rRNA from 1 species